rnacentral:rRNA from 1 species
UACGUAGGGUGCAAGCGUUGUCCGGAAUUAUUGGGCGUAAAGAGCUCGUAGGCGGUCUGUCGCGUCGGCUGUGAAAACCCGGAGCUCAACUCCGGGCCUGCAGUCGAUACGGGCAAACUGGAGUGUUGCAGGGGAGACUGGAAUUCCUGGUGUAGCGGUGAAAUGCGCAGAUAUCAGGAAGAACACCCGUGGCGAAGGCGGCUCUCUGGGACGGUACUGACGCUGAGACGCGAAAGCCAGGGGAGCGAACGGG